CCAGUCGAACGACCCGGACUAUGGCGGGGAGUGGCGCACUGCUCAGUAACACGUAGCUAACCUAACCUCAAGACGGAAAUAACCCCGGGAAACUGGGGUCAAUGUCCGAUAGAUGUGAAUUCCUGGAAUGGUGUCACAUCCAAACGUCAACACACCAUGUUGUGCGAACGCUUGAGGAUGGGGCUGCGGCCGAUCAGGCUGUUGGUGGGGUAAUGGCCCACCAAACCUUUGACCGGUAUGGGCCAUGAGAGUGGUAGCCCAGAGAUGGACACUGAGACAAGGGUCCAGGCCCUACGGGGCGCAGCCGGUACGAAACCUCCACAAUGCACGCAAGUGCGAUGGGGUUAUCUCGAGUGCUAUCUGAAAAAGGUAGCUUUUCCAUGGUCUAAAUAGCCGUGGGAAUAAGGGGGGGGCAAGACUGGUGUCAGCCGCCGCGGUAACACCAGCCCCCCGAGUGGUAGGGAUGUUUAUUUGGCCUAAAGCGUCCGUAGCCGGCUAAGUAAAUUUCUCGUUAAAUCCAACGUCCUAAGCGUUGGGCUGCGAGAAAGACUGCUUAGCUAGAGGGUGGGAGAGGUCAGCGGUAUUCCUGGGGUAGGGGCGAAAUCCAUUGAACCCAGGAGGACCACCAGUGGCGAAGGCUGCUGACUAGAACACGCCUGACGGUGAGGGACGAAAGCUGGGGUAGCGAAUCGGAUUAGAUACCCGAGUAGUCCCAGCCGUAAACGAUGCAGACUAGGUGUUGGGUUGGCCACGCGCCGACUCAGUGCCACAGGGAAGCCAUUAAGUCUGCCGCCUGGGAAGUACGGCCGCAAGGCUGAAACUUAAAGGAAUUGGCGGGGGAGCACCACCAGGCGUGAAGCCUGCGGUUUAAUUGGAGUCAACGCCGGGAACCUUACCGGGAGCGACAGCAGAGUGAAGGCCAGGCUAAAGGUCUUGCCAGACGAGCUGAGAGGAGGUGCAUGGCCGUCGCCAGUUCGUGCCGUGAGGUGUCCUCUUAAGUGAGGUAACGAACGAGACCCGCGCCGCAUGUUGCUAACAAGUCCUAAAGGGAUGUUGAGCACUCUUGCGGGACCGCAGCCGACAAGGCUGAGGAAGGUGCGGGCAACGGCAGGUCAGUAUGCCCCGAAUCUCCCGGGCCACACGCGGGCUGCAAUGGUAGAGACAGAGGGCUGCAACCCCGAAAGGGGAAGCCAAUCCCU
rnacentral:rRNA from 1 species